rnacentral:rRNA from 1 species
UACGUAGGUGGCAAGCGUUAUCCGGAUUUACUGGGUGUAAAGGGCGUGUAGGCGGCUCUGCAAGUCAGAUGUGAAAUUCCCGGGCUCAACUCGGGCGCUGCAUCUGAAACUGCAGAACUUGAGUGCUGGAGGGGAUAGCGGAAUUCCUAGUGUAGCGGUAAAAUGCGUAGAUAUUAGGAAGAACACCGGUGGCGAAGGCGGCUGUCUGGACAGUAACUGACGCUGAGGCGCGAAAGCGUGGGGAGCAAAC